rnacentral:rRNA from 2 species
UGGCUUAAUUUGACUCAACGCGGGGAAUCUUACCGGGUCCGGACACACUGAGGAUUGACAGACAGUUGUCUUUCCCUCCCUUCGGGGUGGGAUUACAAAAGAUAACAGAUCUUUCAUGAUCAUGUGAUGGGUGGUGCAUGGCCGUUCUUAGUUCGUGGAGUGAUCUGUCUGCUUAAUUGCGUUUCAAAUUUUAUAUUUGUUAACAUGCGAGUCUUCAAUGACGGCCGCUCCACCUUAUAGACAUUAUAUGAUAUGCACAUUUGUGUAUUUGAUUAUAACUUGUCUGGAGUCUGGCUCGAUUUUUUUGACUCAAUUGAACGCAACGGACGUGAUUGCAAGUCCUUGUUGAACAAAUUAUAUAUAUACUACUUCAUCAUUAGUAUAUAUAGUUCGCUUCUCAUGUCGUAGCAGUCAAACGGGCGGGCGUCUUAAUUGGCGCGGUCACGAGGCUUAAUAUGCUGCGGCAGGGAAAACUUGGGCGACCGCUGUAAUACUUCUCUCUUAAACCAGAGGAAGAUUGCGGCAAUAACAGGUCUGUGAUGC